UAUGUGCUUCAUCAGACUGUUGGAGCUGCAAACACUGAAAAGUGUCCUGACUUUUACGUGAAUGUGAAGGAAAACGGAAAGACAUACAAGUAUCUUUUAAACAAUCCGGAAUUCAACGCAUAUCUAAAAAUCGUAAAGAAGGAUUCAAAAACAAAUCAGACAGUUUUAAAGGCUGGAACAACAUACCAGAUUUAUAAGGUAAAUGAAGAUGGCAGUGAAACUCUUGUUACACAGACAUACAGCAAUGGAAAUGCAAUUGAGGUUGUGGACAGAUUUGUAACAGAUGAAACAGGGUGCCAGCCGCCGCGGUAAUACCCGCAGCCCGAGUGGUGGUCGAUUUUAUUGAGUCUAAAACGUUCGUAGCCGGUCUGAUAGAUCCUUGGGUAAAUCGGGGGGCUUAACCUUCCGAAUUCCGAGGAGACCGUCAGGCUUGGGAUCGGGAGAGGUAAGAGGUACUUCAGGGGUAGGGGUAAAAUCCUGUAAUCCUUGGAGGACCACCGGUGGCGAAGGCGUCUUACUAGAACGAAUCCGACGGUGAGGGACGAAGCCCUAGGUCGCAAACGGGAUUAGAUACCCCGGUAGUCUAGGGUGUAAACGCUGCAGACUUGGUGUUGGAGGCCCUUCGGGGGCAUUCAGUGCCGGAGAGAAGUUGUUAAGUCUGCUACUUGGGGAGUACGUCCGCAAGGAUGAAACUUAAAGGAAUUGGCGGGGGAGCACCGCAACGGGAGGAGCGUGCGGUUUAAUUGGAUUCAACACCGGAAAACUCACCAAGGGAGACCAUCACAUGAAAGCCAGGCUAAUGACUUUGCUUGAUUCUUGGAGAAGUGGUGCAUGGCCAUCGUCAGUUCGUACUGUAAAGCGUUCUCUUAAGUGAGAUAACGAACAAGACCCUCACUUAUAAUUGCUAACUAGAUCUCCGGAUCUGGUGCACAUUAUCGGGACCGCUGGCGCUAAGUCAGAGGAAGGAGAGGUCAACGGUAGGUCAGUAUGCCCUGAAUCUCUUGGGCUACACGCGCGCUACAAAGGGCGGGACAAUGAGUUCCGACACCGAAAGGUGAAGGUAAUCUCCAAACCCGUCCGUAGUUCGGACUGAGGGUUGUAACUCACCCUCACGAAGCUGGAUUCCGUAGUAAUCGCGAAUCAAAAACUCGCGGUGAAUAUGCCCCUGCUCCUUGCACACACCGCCCGUCAAACCACCCGAGUCGGGUUUCAGUGAGGCUGCCUUUUAUUGGGGUAUUCGAGCUGAGAUUCAGCAAGGGAGGUUAAGUCGUAACAAGGUAUCUGUAG
rnacentral:rRNA from 1 species